GGGCUUGCUCGAGGGAGUAAAGUGGCGAACGGGUGAGUAACGCGUGGGUAACCUGCCCUUAAGACUGGGAUAACUCCGCGAAAGCGUUGCUAAUACCGGAUAUCGUCCCGGAGACUGUGGUCUCGGGGAUAAAAGGUGACCUCUUCUUGAAAGUUGCCGCUUAAUGAGGGGCCCGCGUACCAUUAGCUUGUUGGUAGGGUAAUGGCCUACCAAGGCGACGAUGGUUAGCUGGUCUGAGAGGAUGAUCAGCCACACUGGAACUGAAACACGGUCCAGACUCCUACGGGAGGCAGCAGUGAGGAAUUUUGCGCAAUGGGGGAAACCCUGACGCAGCAACGCCGCGUGAGUGAAGAAGGCUUUCGGGUCGUAAAGCUCUGUCGAGUGGGAAAAAAUUACCUUGGUUAAUAGCCGAGGGAGCUGAUGGUACCACUAGAGGAAGCACCGGCUAACUCCGUGCCAGCAGCCGCGGUAAUACGGAGGGUGCUAGCGUUGUUCGGAAUUACUGGGCGUAAAGAGCGUGUAGGCGGUUUGGUAAGUCAGGUGUGAAAGCCCUGGGCUUAACCCAGGAAGUGCAUUUGAAACUGCCAUACUUGAGUAUGGGAGAGGAGAGUGGAAUUCCCAGUGUAGAGGUGAAAUUCGUAGAUAUUGGGAGGAACACCUGUGGCGAAGGCGACUCUCUGGACCAAUACUGACGCUGAGACGCGAAAGCGUGGGGAGCAAACAGGAUUAGAUACCCUGGUAGUCCACGCCGUAAACGAUGAGAACUAGGUGUAGCGGGUAUUGACCCCUGCUGUGCCGAAGCUAACGCAUUAAGUUCUCCGCCUGGGGAGUACGGCCGCAAGGCUAAAACUCAAAGGAAUUGACGGGGGCCCGCACAAGCGGUGGAGCAUGUGGUUUAAUUCGACGCAACGCGAAGAACCUUACCUGGGUUUGACAUCCUUUGACCGCCCUGGAAACAGGGCUUAUCCGGUUCUGCCGGAACAGAGUGACAGGUGCUGCAUGGCUGUCGUCAGCUCGUGUCGUGAGAUGUUGGGUUAAGUCCCGCAACGAGCGCAACCCUUGUUUUAGUUGCCAGUAUUAAGUUAGGCACUCUAAAGAGACUGCCUCGGUUAACGAGGAGGAAGGUGGGGAUGACGUCAAGUCCUCAUGGCCUUUAUACCCAGGGCUACACACGUGCUACAAUGGGCCGUACAAAGGGUUGCUAUACCGCGAGGUGGAGCCAAUCCCAAAAAGCGGCUCUCAGUUCGGAUUGGAGUCUGCAACUCGACUCCAUGAAGUUGGAAUCGCUAGUAAUCGUGGAUCAGCAUGCCACGGUGAAUACGUUCCCGGGCCUUGUACACACCGCCCGUCACACCACGAAAGUUGAUUGUACCAGAAGUUGCUGGGCCAACCCCUUACGGGGAGGCAGGUACUUAAGGUACGGUUGAUAAUUGGGGUGAAGUCGUAACAAGGUA
rnacentral:rRNA from 1 species